ACACCUCAACUCUCAUGGCUCGCCAUGAUGAGCUUGGACUUUGGGGGUCUUGCUGGCCUGCGGUCGGCUCCUCUCAAAUGGAUCAGCUUGCCAGUGUUUGGUGGCAUCACAGGUGUGAUAACUAUCUACGCUUGUGGUUUUCCACCAGGUAACCUUCAGCGAUGGAGGUUCGCUGGAGCUCAUAAAUGUCUCUCCCCAGUGAAGACAGCUUUGUGAAU
rnacentral:misc_RNA from 1 species